CGAAAGCCUGACGCAGCGACGCCGCGUGGAGGAUGAAGGUCUUCGGAUUGUAAACUCCUGUCAGAGGUGAAGAAAGCCUUUUUAGGUCUGACGGUAACCUCAGAGGAAGCCCCGGCUAACUACGUGCCAGCAGCCGCGGUAAUACGUAGGGGGCAAACGUUGCUCGGAAUUACUGGGCGUAAAGGGUGCGCAGGUGGCUGAGAAAGUCGUUGAUGAAAUCCCGGGGCUUACCCCCGGAACUGUCUUCGAUACUUCUCAGCUUGAGGAUAGUCGAGGAGAACGGAAUUCCCGGUGGAGCGGUGAAAUGCGUAGAUAUCGGGAGGAACACCAGAGGCGAAGGCGGUUCUCUAGGCUAAUCCUGACACUGAGGCGCGAAAGCUAGGGGAGCG
rnacentral:rRNA from 1 species